GAGUCUAAAAGGAGGAGGCGAAUCGAACGCAAAAAUUAUGGGCCCAGUUUUUGAGAUCUAAAUGAAGUUCGAAAAUCGCCGUUAGGGGCGCUUGUGAUGAUUGGGAUACUAGAAAUACACAGCUUCUUAUGGCAAGAAUAACUAUUUUGUUAUAAAUUAUAGAGCCAAGUUAAUAUUUGGGCAUAUUUUUACCAGAGUUAGCUUUUAGAAACGUGGUUUUUCUAAUUGAGCAAUGUGCGUGGCUAAAAUUGUGAAUACAAAACCUUAAAUUUGAGUUUGAAAAUGCAUACACGACCGAAGAAACAUAUAAGCUGCUAAAAUAAAUCUUCCCUAGAACUGUUGUACAAAAAAGAUAGAAGUUCCAGCAACAAAUUUAUCACCAGUUCAACCUUUGAUUUGAUGUAAACAGUAAUUGUUUCUUGAUGAGAAAUGCGAAUGAAAUAGUUUAUGGUGUGAUUGUGUUAGUGUUUUAUUAAUAGUUUUGUUGAUGCAGUUUAAAGGUUCAUAGUUUUUCAUUAAAACAUUUGAAAUUGACAUGUUUACAUGCAGUUUAGUGUGAUACCAUUUUAAUAAACAUUAAAAUCUUUCGAACUAGUAGUGGUUUUAUGGCGAUUGACAGAUUGAAUAACGAAAAU